AUGAUAACCAAGAAUAUCAAGCUUGUCAACGUGGUCCAGGUCAUGCUAUUUCGCCGGAUUCUCCCGUGUCAAAGACGGGCAUUCAACUUGUGGGAGUUCAACACGGCCCAACAACAGACACUGCAAGAGCUCUUUGACACGACACACAAAGACGUUUGGAAGGUGUUGUUUAAGUCCAACGAAGUCCCUCCUCCCACUUCCGAGGACCGUGGACUCAGCGCCAAGCACCACGCCAAUGCGGUAAGCAUUCUACAUUUUGCAAGAUGUGCCUUUCCUCAGUAUAUUCGUGGGAGGAACUUAAGCCACCGUACUGAUCUGACAGGAAUACGUGGCGACGGCGGAGCGGAUCGACUGUCCGGCUCCGUUGCCUGA
rnacentral:rRNA from 1 species